CCGCCAUUAGCUCAGCAGGAUAGAGCGAUCAUGCCAUACGGAAAUGACGGUGCGAGGUUCAAGUCCUCGAUGGCGGUCCA
rnacentral:tRNA from 1 species